CAGGGCUUGACAUCCCGCUGACCGGUGUAGAGAUAUGCCUUUCCCCUUCGGGGGACAGCGGUGACAGGUGGUGCAUGGUUGUCGUCAGCUCGUGUCGUGAGAUGUUGGGUUCAGUCCCGCAACGAGCGCAACCCCUAUUUCUAGUUGCCAGCAUUUCGGAUGGGCACUCUAGAGAGACAGCCGGUGAAAGCCGGAGGAAGGUGGGGAUGACGUCAAAUCAUCAUGCCCCUUAUGUCCUGGGCCACACACGUGCUACAAUGGCUGGCACAAAGGGUAGCCAACCCGCGAGGGGGAGCCAAUCCCAGAAAGCCAGUCUCAGUUCGGAUUGCAGGCUGCAACUCGCCUGCAUGAAGUCGGAAUCGCUAGUAAUCGCGGAUCAGCAUGCCGCGGUGAAUACGUUCCCGGGCCUUGUACACACCGCCCGUCACACCACGAGAGUCUGCAACACCCGAAGUCGGUGAGGUAACCUAACCCACCCCACAAAGUACUACUUUGCGGGGAACCCCGGGAAGGAACCAGCCGCCGAAGGUGGGGUCGAUGAUUGGGGUG
rnacentral:rRNA from 1 species